GAUGAACGCUGGCGGCGGGCCUAAUACAUGCAAGUCGAGCGAACGGUCGAGAAGGUUUCUUCUCAGCUGUUAGCGGCGGACGGGUGAGUAAUACGAGGAGAACCUACCUUUAAGACUGGGAUAACUUCUUUAAACCGGUGCUUAUUCGUGAUAAUGUUUUGAACCGCAUUGUUCAAAAGUGAAAGACGGUCUUGCUGUCAUUUAUAUAUGGAUCCGCGCUGCAUUAGGUAAGUGGUAAGGUAACGGCUUACCAAGGCAACUAUACAUAGCCGACCUGAGAGGGUGAUCGGGCCCCCUGGACCUGAACCACGAUACAGACUACAACGGUAGGCAGCGGAAGGGAAUCUACCGCAAUGGGAGAAAGCCUGACGGAGCACAGCCGCGUGAGUGAUGAAGGCAAUCGGAUAGUAAAACUCAGUUAUUAGGGAAGAACAUAUGUGUAAGUAACUGUGAACAUCUUGACGGUACCUAACCAGAAAGCAACGGCUAACUACGUG
rnacentral:rRNA from 1 species